AUACGGAGGAUCCGAGCGUUAUCCGGAUUUAUUGGGUUUAAAGGGUGCGCAGGCGGCCAUUUAAGUCAGCGGUUAAAUCGUGGGGCUCAACCCCAUUCUGCCGUUGAUACUGGGUGGCUUGAUUGCGGUCGAGGUUGGCGGAAUUCGUUGUGUAGCGGUGAAAUGCAUAGAUAUGACGAAGAACACCGAUUGCGUAGGCAGCUGACCAGACCGCAAAUGACGCUCAUGCACGAAAGUGCGGGGAUCAAACAGGAUUAGAUACCCUGGUAGUCCGCACGGUAAACGAUGAUUACCCGCUGUCGGCGGUAGACGGUCGGCGGCCAAGCGAAAGCGAUAAGUAAUCCACCUGGGGAGUACGCCGGCAACGGUGAAACUCAAAGGAAUUGACGGGG
rnacentral:rRNA from 1 species